rnacentral:rRNA from 1 species
UUUUAGAAAUUAAUUUAAAGUCUAACCUGCCCACUGAAUAAUUUUAAAUGGCCGCAGUAUCCUAACUGUGCAAAGGUAGCAUAAUCAUUAGUCUUUUAAUUGAAGGCUGGAAUGAAUGGUUGGAUGAAAUAUUAACUGUUUCAUAUAAAUUUAUAAUAGAAUUUUAUUUUUUAGUCAAAAAGCUAAAAUUUAAUUAAAAGACGAGAAGACCCUAUAAAUCUUUAUAUUUUUUUAAUUUUAAUUAUUUAGAUAAAUUAAAUUAUAAUUAACAAAAAUAUUUUAUUGGGGUGAUAUUAAAAUUUAAUAAACUUUUAAUUUAUAAUAUACAUAAAUUAAUGAAUUAUUGAUCCAUUUAUUAUGAUUAAAAAAUUAAGUUACUUUAGGGAUAACAGCGUAAUUUUUUUAGAGAGUUCAUAUUGAUAAAAAAGAUUGCGACCUCGAUGUUGGAUUAAGAUAUAAUUUUAGGUGCAGUAGCUUAAAUUUAAAGUCUGUUCGACUUUUAAAUUCUUACA